rnacentral:misc_RNA from 1 species
CUUAAAAUCUGAAUUAAGAUAUUCAUCAAAAGAAUAAAUGCAUUGUGUAACCAGCCAUCCUGGGGAAAAAAUAAAAUUAGGAUUUGGGUCGUAAGAUUCUUUAUUUCGGUGCCUUUCCACUGCGAAACUUAAAAUUAAACUUAUGAUUAAUAGACAAAUUUUAAUUGAGUUUUACUCUCGAGACGAAUGUUUACAAAAAUUAAUUAUUCACACAGGGUAAAAGCCAGUUGACCAGAAUGACAGUCGAUCGAUUGAACGGUUAAGAUGACUUCAGCGAUCACUCACAUAUUAUAGGCAAAUGUGAUAUUGGCCUGUAAUUUUUUUUUCUCUCUUUUUAAAAAUUGGCACCACUUUGAGAACAGGAAAAGUAUUCUGUUUAUUUCAUGUAAGAGGAUGUAUGAGAAUACACUAUUAGAAAUUAUAUAAAACUAUAUUAAAUAUGUUUCGAAGAAAUAAGAGAACACCUAAAUGUGAACUUUAUAAGGAAAAUAUCCUACAUGUAAAAUUAAUGUAUGUUUUAAAUGCUUGUUUUUUCGUAUCGUCAGUGUCCAGGCAAAGUAUUGUAAGCGACAUUUUUUGCAAAAUUGCGAUAUUGGUGUUUCCGGAAUUGUCUAGGUGAGCUGCAUCGACUUAGAAAAAACAUCGUUAGCGCCAAAGGUCACAGAACGUCAUAAUUUAAUUUUUUAAAUUUACAAUCGUAUGCACGUUUAAUAUGUAAAAUAUCGUAAGCCUGUGUCGCUUACAUUUUAUUCGAUAGCGAAUCUCUUUAAACAGUUACUAAAAGAUUCAGCAUAAAUAUUGUAACCGCCCGUCCCUUACGACAUUUUGUUUUUUUAAUCGUUAUGUUUCGCGCCAAAAUUAGGGUAUGAAAUAUCACAACCGCCCAAAAUAUUCAUAUAAAUAAACGUAUCCGCCUGUCGCUUAUGAUAUUUUUGUUUUGUUUGUCAUUAUGUUUUGCGCCAACAUUAGGGUAUGAAAUAUCGCAACCGCCCAAAUAUUUGUAGAAAUAAACGUAUCCGCCAGUCGCUUACGAUAUAUUGGAAAUCGUGGUAUAUCAGACACGUUGGUUCUCGUCGGAUGUUAAAUAAUCGUAACGACCAAACUAAUCAGUUUUUAAACCCUCCUCGUGGAAAGCGGACGUGUUUUUAGUGUGUUUUGUUGUUAUACUGUUAUUUAUUUAUCCUAAAAAUGUCUAGGGGCUUACGGUGUCUGAAUCUCUUCAAGGAAUUUGUGUAUUAAUAUAAAAGUAAAGAAGCUGUUGAAACCCUGAAAUUGCGACUCACAAACGAAGAGUUUUCCGACGGAACAACAAUGUUUCAAAAGACGUUGGCGGUACUCCCACAAACAAAGGGAGACGAAUCUAAAGAUGCUCCAGACCCCAUGACUAUUCUUGACAAUGUUUUUUUUGAGCAAAAUCCAGAAUUAUCCUUUCAACCCAAGCCUGAUCAAGAAAUUAUUGUUAAUAAAUUAGCGGGACAUGAAGCUACGGUACAUUCACAAACAAACGGAGACGAACCUAAAAAUGAUCCAGAAACAAUUAUGACCUACACUAUUCUCGAAAAUGUUAUUGACAGUGUUAUUUCUGAGCAAAAUCCAGAGUUAUCUCUGCAACCCAAAGGUGAUCAAGAAGUUAUUAUCAAUGAACCAUUAGCAGGAGGAGCCGCUGAAACUACCGACCUUGAUAAAGACAACAUCCCUAUUAUUAUUAUACAACCAAAUGGAACAGUUGUUUCUAAUGAGGAAAAUAGUAUUGCCAUGAAUUCAUUCAGUGUUGCGCUAACCUCAAUAUUACUGGUGUAUCAAACCUUGACUUCCUGAUGAACGAAAGUGUUCUGGAACCAUCUUGCAAUGAAACAAUAAGUGCUAAAAUUAUGACGUUUCCAUUCGAUAAUAAUAGUUUAAGUAUAGAAAGUUAUAAUCCCCAGUCUAAGCAAACAGUGACAACUCUUCAGAACAAUAAAUCCACAGAUGAUAAACAAGAAAUGGCUAUGAAUCUUGACAGAGAAGAUAAUGAUAAAAAUGAAGAAGACAUUAGUUCAGGAGAUCAAAGCAGUGAUCAGGCUAGCACUGGUUUGUCCAAAUAUAAAAUCAAAAAACCAAAUAAAAGGCUAGAAAAAAAGAAACUAAAGAGUUCUGGUGUAAAUAAAGCAGUAAAGCCGAUUCCAUGUGCUGGGAAAAAAUGUCAGAAUAAUUGUAAAUCAGUAAGUGAAACUGACAGAAAGCAAAUAUUUAAUGCCUAUUAUGAACUUGAGACCUAUGAAGAAAAGAAAAGUUGGCUAAUUCAAUGUAUGAAGCAAAAAGAAAUAGGAAGAAAACGUACCAAGAAUAAUAAUUCCAAGCGACAAAGAAACUAUAGAAUAUAACUUAACAGUAUAAGGAGAACAAAAAAGAGUUUGUCAGCAGUUCAUACUAAAAACCCUGGAUGUCAGUCAAAUGUCUUUGCGACAAACCAUAAACAAUAUUUCUAAGACAGGAAUGAUUAAAAAAGACUCGCGAGGUCGCUGUGCACCAAAAAAUAAGACAUCUGAGCAAUCUAUUAAACAUGUCAAUGAUUUUAUUAAUAAAAUACCAGUGGUGCCAUCCCGCUUUCUGAAAUUGAAAAUUUUUCAAAUCUAUACAGAUUGUAUAAGGAAGAUUGUAAAAUGCAAAAAAUGGAUCCAGUGAGCAGAGCAACGUUUUUAAAGAUUUUUAAAGGUUACAAUCUAGGCAUUCAUGUAAAAAAAAAGAUAAAUGCAGUCUUUGUGAAAGGGUCCUAAGUACAGGCGAAAAAAAUGUAGAAGCAGCAGAUUUAGAAAACUAUCUGCGUCAUAGAGAAGAGAUAAAAAAAACAGUCGUGAUAAAUUUAAAAAAGAUCAAGAAAAUUGCGAUCCAAAUUUCAUGUGUGCAUCUUUUGAUCUGCACAAGGUGUUAACUACGCCACACGGAAACAGUAUACUUUUAUAUUAUGCUCGUAAAUUAGCUGUUUACAAUUUCACGGUAUAUGAAAGUAUAACAAAAAACGGUUUUUGUUUCCUGUAGAAUGAGACUUUGGGAAAAAAAGGUUCAAACGAAGUUUGCACUGCCCUACAAAAAUACCUUGAACUUUUGGAUCAACGUAUUUCUCCUGAAAUAUCCGAACGUUCCGCGAUAAUUGCAGUGGACAAAAUAAAAACAAACAAGUUUUGGCAAUGAUUAACACAUUUCUUAAAAUAUCUAUUCACAUAAAAAAAUCACAUUAAACUAUCUAAUUGCCGGCCAUACAUACAUGCCUGUUGAUUCUAUGCAUUCCACUAUAGAAUCAUUUAUAUAAAAAAAAAUCAAUUAUGCACCUUCAAUGUGGAAAUCUGCUAUAAGUCUUGCAAGGCACACACCCGGACCAUAUUUCGUCAAUUUAUUGAACUAUGACAAUUUUCUGAACUAUUCAACCAUUGCAAAAGGGGUUUCUAAUUUUUCCCAGUAUGUUGAAGACACAGAAACUACUGAACAACCUGAAUCAAUUUUAAAGAAAAAACGAACUAAAACUAGAAGCAAAAAACCUAAAUUAGUCAAAGGUAAGCCCCUUCAAAUUUCCAAAAUUCGGGUAGUAAAAAUAGAAGCAGUAAAUCCAAAAUACAUGACAGUUCAGUAUAUAGUUAUUUGCAAGGGUUAGCCAAUAAAAAGCACUUUACUAUUAAAAAUGAAAGAAAGCCCCUUAAUAAAUGCUACACUUCCCUACUGCCGAUAUCGGCGGCUAAAUACAAAGAUCUCAGCAAAAUAUGUUUGCAGUCAGCUAUUCCAAAGGACUAUCACACCGAAUUCAUUAGUCUGCCACAUUCGCAGGACAUUAUAGACGUAUUACCGGACGCAGAUGAAGAGGACGAAGGCGUUUAAUUUAUUAUUAUUUUUUGAAAUGUUUUGUUUAAUGUUGCUGCUGUUACUGUCGUUUUUUUUUUAAAUAAAGAUACCAUGACUGUAAUAAAACCUAAUUAUUUUAAUUUGGUGCUUACGAUAUUAUAAAAAUAAUUCGCAAGUUAUUUUGAUACAAGCAACAUUAAAAAUAUCCUAAGCUCCAUGGAAUUCCCAAAACGC